AAAAUGGCCCUUAAAUCCCUACUAGGAGUAAGGAGCUGGUAUCAGGCACAACUCUUAGCCCAAGACACCUAGCCACGCCACACCCACACGGGAAUUCAGCAGUAAUUAACAUUGAUAAUAAGCGACAGCUUGACUCAGUUAAAGUAAAAAGAGCCGGCUAAUUAGGUGCCAGCCGCCGCGGUUACACCAUGAGGCUCAAAUUGAUUACCUUCGGCGUAAAGCGUGUUUAAAGUCAUUAACAAAUUAUAGCUAAACUAAAACUAAGCUGUAACAUGCUUGUAUCUAGGAAAACCAAAACGAAAGUUGCUAUAAUUAAAACAACUUGAAUCCACAACAGUUAGGACACAAACUGGGAUUAGAUACCCCACUAUGCCUAACCGCAAACUUUAAAUUACACCCCUCAUCGCCCGGGAACUACGAGCAAAGCUUAAAACCCAAAGGACUUGACGGUACCCCACAUCCACCUAGAGGAGCCUGUCCUACAAUCGAUAAUCCCCGUUUAACCUCACCAUUUUUAGCCUCUCAGCCUGUAUACUUCCGUCGUCAGCUUACCCCGUGAGUGAUUCUCAGUCAGCUCAAUGCCCAUAUACCAAUACGCCAACACGUCAGGUCAAGGUGCAGCAAAUAAAGUGGAAAGAGAUGGGCUACACUCUCUAUUUUAGAAAAUACAGAAGACUAUUUAUGAAACCUAGUCAGAAGGCGGAUUUAGCAGUAAAAAGAGACAAGAGUGCUCUUUUUAACACGGCACUGGGGUGUGUACACACCGCCCGUCACUCUCUUCAAAGCUAAUAUAUAGUCCUUGACACACUUAAGC
rnacentral:rRNA from 1 species